rnacentral:rRNA from 1 species
AGCAGUCGCCACGGUAAUUCGGAGGGUGCAAGCGUUAAUCGGAAUUACUGGGCGUAAAGCGUGCGUAGGCGGUUCGUUAAGUCUGUUGUGAAAGCCCCGGGCUCAACCCGGGAAUGGCAGUGGAUACUGGCGAGCUAGAGUGUGUCAGAGGAUGGUGGAAUUCCCGGUGUAGCGGUGAAAUGCGUAGAGAUCGGGAGGAACAUCAGUGGCGAAGGCGGCCAUCUGGGACAACACUGACGCUGAGGCACGAAAGCGUGGGGAGCAAACAGGAUUAGAUACCCCUGUAGUCCCUGUCUCUUAUAC